rnacentral:rRNA from 1 species
AGCAGCCGCGGUAAUUCCAGCUCCAAUAGCGUAUAUUAAAGUUGUUGCAGUUAAAAAGCUCGUAGUUGAAUUUCGGGAUCAAUAUAUCGGUCAUGCUUAGGUAUGUACUGGUAUUAUUGAUUUCUCCCUUCUGAAGAACCAUGAUGUCAUUAAUUUGAUGUCGUGGGGAAUCAGGACUGUUACUUUGAAAAAAUUAGAGUGUUUAAAGCAGGCAUACGCUUGAAUACAUUAGCAUGGAAUAAUGAAAUAGGACGUUUGAUUCUAUUUUGUUGGUUUCUAGGAUCGACGUAAUGAUUAAUAGGGAUAGUUGGGGGCAUUAGUAUUCAAUUGUCAGAGGUGAAAUUCUUGGAUUUAUUGAAGACUAACUACUGCGAAAGCAUUUGCCAAGGAUGUUUUCAUUAAUCAAGAACGAAAGUUAGGGGAUCGAAGACGAUCAGAUACCGUCGUAGUCUUAACCAUAAACUAUGCCGACUAGGGAUCGGAUGAUGUAAUUUUUAAUGACU